rnacentral:rRNA from 1 species
GAUGAACGCUGGCGGCGUGCCUAAUACAUGCAAGUCGAGCGAACAGACGAGGAGCUUGCUCCUCUGACGUUAGCGGCGGACGGGUGAGUAACACGUGGAUAACCUACCUAUAAGACUGGGAUAACUUCGGGAAACCGGAGCUAAUAGCGGAUAAUAUCUUGAACCGCAUGGUUCAAUAGUGAAAGACGGUUUUGCUGGCACUUAUAGAUGGAUCCGCGCCGCAUUGGCUAGUUGGUAAGGUAACGGCUUACCAAGGCAACGAUGCGUAGCCGACCUGACAGAGUGAUCGGCGGCACUGGAGCGUGGACGCGGUCCUGAGUCCUGCGAGAGGCAGCAGUAGGGUAUGGUCCGCAAUGGGGGGAAACCUGGCGGAGCAGCGGCGCGUGAGUGAUGAAGGUCUUGGGAUCGUAAAACUGGGUUAUGAGUGAAGAACAGAUGUGGACGUAAAUAUGCACGGCUUGACGGUACCUGGUCAGAAAGCCACGGCUAACUACGUG